rnacentral:lncRNA from 1 species
AUGCCGAAUAGUGCAGCCGCGGGACACGGCGGGAGACAGGAGGGAGGUGCUAUAAAACCGGCGCUCGGCCGGGAUCAGGGCUUCACAGUCAUUAGUUCUAGUGGACCACGUGCUCCGUUCCCGAAAUCAGUUCGUCGACCUCCGACUCCACUGCACCUCCGUCAAGAUGAACAAAGUAGUUCUGGUGCUCCUGCUGGCCUGCUGGAUGGCCGUCUCCGAGGCGUUCAUCAAACUCGGGAAGCAGUUCCCGCACCACCACGGCGGCUACCACGGCGGCUACCAACCGGGGCACUACGGCGGCUACGGCCACUACCCUGGCGGCGGCUACGGCGGCCCGGCAGCCUUCGGGCGGCCGCCUUACGGGGGCUACGGCGGAGCCAACUACCCUUACUACCCCAGCCAGCAAGCGGCCAUCCACGGAGGACACGGCUUCGGAGCUUACGGAACGGGUUACGGAAGAUAAGCGGCGCCUACGGAAGAUAAACGGAAAGUGAGACACACGGAUUUCGAAGCUCUCUCUUGCGGACAUUUUAACACAAUGCUGGAGAAUUUGCAUGCAAUUUUUAGAAAACCGAGAAGGAGGAUAUCCUAGGUUUCUAAGUUGGACGAUUUAAUGGAGAAAAUAUGACAAAAUUAUCUGAUCUGCUCAAAUACAUGUGUUUGAAUGGAAAAUGCUGCCAGAUGACGUCACAAGGCGGCAUAUUAUCUCACUUUUUAAUCAAUUUUUACUACAAUUUCCCUUAUCAGAAAAAGAGUAUGAAAAAUACUGCGAACUCAGCUCAUUUGGCACCUUCAGAUGAAGCAAUAAAAUUUCGGUCUGCAAAUGGAGAAUUUGCACGCAAAUUGUUUAUUGCUUCUGAAUCUGCAUCUCAAAGUGAACAAAGAGUUGAUUUCACAGUAUUCAUUGUGUUUUUUCUGAUGAAGGAAGCAGUGUCAAAAUAGAUUUAAAAGUGAGAAAAUGCACCGCCUAGUGACGUCAUCUGGCGGCAUUUCCCAUUUAAACACAUGUAUUUUAGCAGAUUAGAUUAUUUUGUCAUAUAUUCUCCAAUAAUUGUUCAAUUCAUGAACUAAGGGUAUCCUCGUUUUCAGUUGACUUAGUAGUUUCCACUUAAACACGAACUUCACCAAAUUUUAGACACCUGCAAAUUCUCUAUUGAGGCGAACACGGUUAGGAUUCCAACAUACUAUACCCCUAAUGAAACAGGGUAAUCAUUAACACACCACGUUCGAUGAACGGACACAUUUAAAUCAAAAGAGCCAUUGUGACAUGAGCCUUGUUAUGCAUGUAUUCUUACGAGUCUCAGAGCUCGUAUCACAAUGGUUACAGUUCCUUUUGAUUUAAAUACGUCCAAACUAUAUUGUAUUAGGCAAAAAUGGAACGUGGAGGUAUUGUGUUCGUUAUUGCAAAAAUCUGCCCAAUAAGAGACAGAUGGAAUUUCAUGAUUUAUAUUUUGAACUUAACACUGAUCAAAAUUAUCCCUUCAAAAUUCUGUCAUUUAACGUUCUUGCCUUUCAAAUUAAUAUGCUGAAAAUCAUGAACGUCUAAGUGUAGGUAACACGAUUUUAUUUAUUUCUGUAAAUAAAAUGUAAAUAUUCAUAGUGACAUUUUAGCUUCGUUUCAUUAAGUCCUUUUAUUUCAUUUUUGUUUUCAUCCCGUUGCUAAUUAUCGCCUAUAGCGAUGCAACAAUAUCUUGAAGCUAGUAAUUUUGAUUUACAAUUGGAGACAGAGAAGCGUAUGACUUUCUUCAAGGCAUUUUUACUUAUUUUCUCAUAGAAUUAUGUAAAUAUUAGUUUGGAAAAAAAAAAUUUAAAAAAUUAAGAGGUUGAUCGUGAGCGAAAUUUGAUUCACACAGGGAAGAAAUUUUAGUGUAUACUUAACGGGACUAAGAAGAAUGAAAAUAUGAGCACAACUCAUUCGCUCCAAUAAUAUGAGUGAAAAAUAAUAGCAAGUGCGGCAACCGGCACACUGGAAAAAAAGUAGCUUGAAACAAAUCAAAAUCAGCUUGAAGCAAGCUGGAAAAAAUCUUAAAUUUGCCGCCAAGAAACGUAUGGCUUGAAAUAAGCAUGGCCGUGCUGCUUGAAAUUAGCUACCCGGCGGAAUCUUAAUUAUUUUUCGUUUAAUGC